AUGACACGGUUUGGGUUCGACCCACAGUGGGUAUCCAUGAUAAUGAGAUGCGUUACCUCAGCCCGGUUUUCUGUUAAGUUAAAUGGCGGGCUCUCCAGAAGAUUUACACCGUCUCGUGGCUUAAGACAGGGCGAUCCACUGUCACCAUAUUUGUUUCUAUUUUGUUUGGAGGGCUUUUCAGCGUUACUCAAGAAAGCUCAGACUGAUAAACAGUUGUCGGGUGUGAAGUUUGGGAGCACUGGCCCCCAUGUAACACAUCUUUUGUUCGCUGACGAUAGCAUAGUGUUCCUAGAGGGCACCAAGGAGAACAUGCAGACCUUAAAACAGAUUUUUGAGAAGUAUGAAAAAGUGUCGGGACAAAAGGUAAACUUGCAGAAAUCCUCGAUCUUCUUUGGUAAAGGUAGCCAAGAUGGGAUGAAGGAACAGAUGAAGAGGAUUGUGGGGAUCCAGUCUGAAGCUCUUAGUGAAUGGUACUUGGGACUCCCAACACUGGUUGGCCGGUCCAAGGAUGGUACUUUUAAACAUGUCACUGAGUGUGCUAAGGGCAAAGUGGGGGACUGGAAGGGGCAAGGCUUGUCCAAAGCAGCUAGAGAAGUACUUGUCAAAUCUGUUUUGCAAGCGACACCGACCUAUACCAUGAGUUGUUUUCACCUCUCAAAGAAGAUGUGCCGGAACCUGAAUUCAAUCUCAUCCAAAUUCUGGUGGGGUGCAACGAAUGGGGAGAGAAAGGUCCAUUGGAUCGCUUGGAAGAAGAUGUGUGCGAGCAAGAGGGAUGGGGGCAUGGGCUUUCGCGAUCCCGAGGCGUUCAACCAAGCAUUGCUGGCAAAACAAGCAUGGCGUAUUCUUCAAGUUCCAACUUCUCUUUGUGCUAUAGUUCUUAAGGCGAGGUACUUUAAAGAGGAUUCUAUCUUAUCUGCUUCAUGCCCAUCUUCGGGAUCUUUUACAUUUAGAAGUAUCUUGCAUGGACGGGACUUGUUGAGGGAGGGCCUGAUUUGGAGAGUUGACUCCGGGUCAAAUAUCAACAUUCAUCACGACGCCUGGAUCCCAAGGAGCGGUGGCACUAAACCGCUGGGCCAACUAUACAUGCAGGGCAUAACAAAAGUAGCUCACUUACUCAACCCUGAUGGCAGGACGUGGAAUGUGCAGCUGGUGGAUCAAAUGUUCACUAUGGAAGAUGCUAGGGAUGUGAAGCAAACCGCUAUUGGGGGACCAGAGAUGGAUGAUUUCUUGGCAUGGAACUUCACGCGCAAUGGGGCUUUCACAGUCAGGUCAGCAUACCAUCUUCGAAUGGACCUAAACAAAGCGAGGACCGGACGGCCGGAAUCCUCAAGCUCGGUUGCAAUGCAUAAAGGAUAUCUGGCGUUGUGGGAUACGAGCACAACGGGUAAGGAGAAAAUUCAUAUGUGGCGCAUGAUCCGCAAUGGGCUUGCUGUGGGGACAUAA
rnacentral:rRNA from 1 species